rnacentral:rRNA from 1 species
AACAGGAUUAGAUACCCUGGUAGUCCACGCCGUAAACGAUGUCGACUUGGAGGUUGUUCCCUUGAGGAGUGGCUUCCGGAGCUAACGCGUUAAGUCGACCGCCUGGGGAGUACGGCCGCAAGGUUAAAACUCAAAUGAAUUGACGGGGGCCCGCACAAGCGGUGGAGCAUGUGGUUUAAUUCGAUGCAACGCGAAGAACCUUACCUACUCUUGACAUCCAGAGAACUUUCCAGAGAUGGAUUGGUGCCUUCGGGAACUCUGAGACAGGUGCUGCAUGGCUGUCGUCAGCUCGUGUUGUGAAAUGUUGGGUUAAGUCCCGCAACGAGCGCAACCCUUAUCCUUUGUUGCCAGCGGUCCGGCCGGGAACUCAAAGGAGACUGCCAGUGAUAAACUGGAGGAAGGUGGGGAUGACGUCAAGUCAUCAUGGCCCUUACGAGUAGGGCUACACACGUGCUACAAUGGCGCAUACAAAGAGAAGCGACCUCGCGAGAGCAAGCGGACCUCAUAAAGUGCGUCGUAGUCCGGAUUGGAGUCUGCAACUCGACUCCAUGAAGUCGGAAUCGCUAGUAAUCGUAGAUCAGAAUGCUACGGUGAAUACGUUCCCGGGCCUUGUACACACCGCCCGUCACACCAUGGGAGUGGGUUGCAAAAGAAGUAGGUAGCUUAACCUUCGGGAGGGCGCUUACCACUUUGUGAUUCAUGACUGGGGUGAAGUCGUAACAAGGUAACC